UGUCGAUUGGCAACCACUUAGCUAACAUACAUAGUGGUCACAGUGAAACCUUUCCAUCUUGUAUGCAUGGAGAAAUUCAAGAUAGAAUUUGGAUUCCUGCUGGAACACGAGCUCACAAGGAGAUAGAAAGCAUCUUAAAGUCCAGAUAUCUCCUGAAAGAUGUAGCCAAACUGUCACCUCAUGGGCAGACAUCAUACCUUGAAGGAUUUCAUAGUGUCAUAUGUCACUUCGCUCCAAAGUUCUACCAUUAUCAUUACAAUGGUAUGAAGGCAAGGUUGUUGAUGUCUGCCCUCCACUUCAAUGAGAAUGGAACACGACUGAAAGCACACACCAAAAC